AAAGUUGUUGCGGUUAAAAAGCUCGUAGUCGGAGGUGUGUCUCGGACGGUCGGUUCGCCGCUUGUCGGUGCUCAACUGGCCGGUCCGGACGUCCUGCCGGUGGGGCCUCGCGGCCCCGUCAUCCUUCUUUGGUCCUCUUCACCGAGUGCCUUGGUGGGCCGGCACGUUUACUUUGAACAAAUUAGAGUGCUCAAAGCAGGCCGUUGGUCGCCUGAAUACUGUGUGCAUGGAAUAAUGGAAUAGGACCUCGGUUCCAUUUUGUUGGUUUUCGGGACUCGAGGUAAUGAUUAAUAGGGACGGACGGGGGCAUUCGUAUUGCGACGUUAGAGGUGAAAUUCUUGGAUCGUCGCAAGACGAACCGAUGCGAAAGCAUUUGCCAAGAACGUUUUCGUUGAUCAAGAACGAAAGUUAGAGGUUCGAAGGCGAUCAGAUACCGCCCUAGUUCUAACCAUAAACGAUGCCAGCUAGCCAUCCGCCGAAGUUCCUUCUAUGACUCGGCGGGCAGCUUCCGGGAAACCAAAGCUCUUGGGUUCCGGGGGAAGUAUGGUUGCAAAGCUCAAACUUAAAGGAAUUGAC
rnacentral:rRNA from 1 species